rnacentral:rRNA from 1 species
GAUAAACGCUGACAGAAUGCUUAACACAUGCAAGUCGAACGGUAACGGGGAGGGAGAUUACUUUCUCUGCUGACGAGUGGCGGACGGGUGAGUAAAGCUUGGGAAUCUGGCGAAUGGAGGGGGAUAGCCACGGGAAACUGUGGGUAAUACCGCGUAAUGUCUAAGGACCAAAGGGGUGGGACUGAGAGGCCACCUGCCAUUUGAUGAGCCCAAGUGGGAUUAGGUAGUUGGUGAGGUAAGGGCUCACCAAGCUGACGAUCUCUAGCUGGUCUGAGAGGAUGGCCAGCCACACUGGAACUGAGACACGGCCCAG